CGUGAAAUUAUUGAAAGGGAAGCGCUUGCAGCCAGACUUGCCUGUAGUUGCUCAUCCGGGCUUUUGCCCGGUGCACUCUUCUGUAGGCAGGCCAGCAUCAGUUUGGGCGGUUGGAUAAAGGUCUCUGUCACGUACCUCCUCUCGGGGAGGCCUUAUAGGGGAGACGACAUGCAACCAGCCUGGACUGAGGUCCGCGCAUCUGCUAGGAUGCUGGCGUAAUGGCUGUAAGCGGCCCGUCUUGAAACACGG
rnacentral:rRNA from 1 species